AGAGAGCAUAGGAACAUGGAAAGAAAGAAGUUCAUCAUCUUCAUAUCUCCAUUUUCGCAACCCUUGAUACAGCUCCACUAAAUCAGCUUCUGUCUUGAAGGAGAAAAACGAGUUUGAAGUUGGGACAUGCAUGCUGAAUGUGAAGAAGGAGGGGUUACGGGUUUGGUGAACUUGAAGGUGUAGUUUGUGUCAAGAAGAUAGUCCAAUGGCAGCAAGAACAUGAUCUCAACCUCUAUUAAUCCAAGGUGCAGUUAGUAGCGUUCGGUCAGUAACAGGUUUGGACUGAAGACUUGGAAGUGGUGUUGGCUCGAAGACCUCGUUGGUUUUGACAUUCCGCUGUGCAAGAUGUAUUGAAGAC